AUGAAAAUUGCGGGCAAGAUCCCUCCCUGGCAGGGAAGACAUGUGGCCUCUGCUGGCCGUGUGGUUCUUGUUAAGGCCAUCCUAACUGCCAUUGCUAUCUACCAUCUCACGCCGCUCGACAUCCCGCUGGAGGUCCGCAAGAAAAUCGAUAGUAUUCGCCGUGCAUAUCUUUGGGCGGGCUCAGACAAGGUGUCUGGAGGAAAAUGCAAGGUAAAUUGGGAGCUCGUCUGUAAGCCCAAGGACAAGGGUGGGCUCGGAGUGCUUAACCUGGAUAAGUUCGCCAAGGCUCUGCGACUUCGAUGGCUAUGGUUUGAAUGGACUGACAAGAGCAAGCCAUGGAUAGGCAUG
rnacentral:rRNA from 1 species